rnacentral:rRNA from 1 species
AUACGAAGGUCCCAAGCGUUAUUCGGAAUCACUGGGCGUAAAGGACGCGUAGGCGGGUUUGUAAGUCAGGUGUGAAAUCCUACAGCUCAACUGUAGAACUGCACUUGAAACUACAGACCUAGAGUAUGGAAGGGGCAGAUGGAAUUAGUGGUGUAGGGGUAAAAUCCGUAGAUAUCACUAGGAAUACCGAAAGCGAAGGCGAUCUGCUGGGACAUUACUGACGCUGAGGCGUGAAAGCGUGGGGAGCAAACAGGAUUAGAAACCCGAGUAGUCC